CAAAGUCUUUACCACUCUGUCAAGUGUAGCAUUUGAAUCAUGGCAGACUUUAGGAUGGUCCGUGACUGUAUGUGGGUCUAGCAUGUCCUCGUGUGCUUGUACUCUCCUUUACUUGGGACCUGAGAGCAAUGGCCUGCUCUGGGCCCCACAGGAUAGGUGAAGGAAGACUGGAAGUGCACUGCCAAGGUCAUUGACAGAAGACUCCUCUGGUUGUUCAUCUGCUUUGGGGGAACCAUCAGGCCUGCUCUUCGUUCAUUCCUGGCUGGUGUUACUUGACUUCAUGACCCUUGCGUUGGCUCCAAGUACUCCCUGACCCCUGAGGCCUGAGGCCUCCAGCAGGCCCUGACACCCUAUCCCAGGCAGAGUCACCCCCACCACCAUCUCCAUGUGAAGACAGAGGGUGCUCGGCCUCUACCACAUGUCCAGACCAACUGCGGCCUCUGAGCUGUGAAAGGUGCCUGCCAGCCUGUGUGGAUCUCUCUCUUACUGUCACCUAAAGAAAUGCCUUACUGUCCCGAACCUUCUACUUCCUAUUCUGUAAACGGAGAAAUGAAGCUAAUAAGAGCAUCCACCUCCUGUAUGAGGAUUACAUAAAAUGAUACAAAACGGUGAGGCACUCCACCAAGGGUGAAUAAAACCUUUGCCAUAGUGAUCACCACCCAGAGCUGUUUUUGUGAGGACUGUAUCCUCAAGACAUAAUUUUACAACUAAAUAACUUUUUUUUUUUGGUACCAGGGAUCAAACUUGGGGCCUUGCACUUGCAAGC